CCUGCGGCAGCAGCUGGCGCAGCAGGUGGCGGGCGUUGGCGGUGAAGCUGAGGUACACGUCGGCGUGGGAAUCCAAGCUUAUCGCCCUCGUCCGGCACUGCCAGAUCAUAGCCGUGACCACGUCGAAGGUGGAGCACUCCUGGCCCGCCUCCCUGCAGAACUGGUUUUUAACCGCGUCGAUGUGGUCGGAGGGGAUGUCGAACACGGAGGACUCGAAGUAGACGACAGCGGGGGCGGGUGCGUGUCGUUGCGAUAGCUUUGGCGGACGGGGGAUGGCUUCCCUGCACCAGACAGGCUCAACGAGGGGACGAGCGUGGCCUCUUGCGAUCUCGGCGACUGCUUUCAAGAACUGGGCUGCCCCGAGGCCAUCGAAUACUGUGUGAUUGAAUCUGAUGUCCAUUGCGAAUCCACCGCAUGUGAACUCCGUCACCUGAAAAAGUAAUACAGCGCAUAACGGUAAAAAAAAGUCUCGCGUGAGCAUUAAAAUUUAGGCAGCAUGCUCUUCAUCAUCUCCUAAACCAGGUCUGUGUGGCUGUAUGCCGCGUGUUCUUGAAUCAGAGAUAAAGUUGGAUGAGACACAAUAAUAAAACUAAUAAUAAGAACAAUAAAGGUGAUGACUGAAAACGGUGGCACGUUCGACUCGUGAAAUCUGCCGCAUGAGCCUAAUGGCUUCUUGUACAAUUAGUCGGCAGUAGCUACACGAUGAGCAGAGCUAGCUCCUGACACCCAGAAAACAUCUUUAGAAAGGAGCCGAUAUGAACGAAAGGCAGGUAGCUCCUAAAAGCAAGCCAACUUGAUUGCAAUACGUGUGUCUGUGUCAAAGCAAGCCAACCGGGGAGCGGCUCCACGAUUCGCCCGGCGACGGGGUAGUAGGCGACUAGAGCGCGGGACAGCGCCGCCCUGAUGGCCUUCGCCGGCUGCACGCCUUGCUCGAACACGAGUAUCAGGUCGAUGAUCAAUCUGACCACCGCGGUGAUAGAAUGAGAGAAUGAAGUAUGAAAUGAAAAGGAUAAAGCAAAAAGGCACACUUAUUCGUAUGUUGAUGCAUUUUCGGUGUAACGAUGAAAUAGUUCUUGACCGUAUGUAGCAGAGGAGUGGCAAGUGAAUGACUCAUGACAAUGGAAUGCCAUUGAUGUUGCUUAGAGAGGGAGUCAUGUACACGUAUGGUUACGGUAAAAGUUAUCUUAAGACUUCGUAAAAGUAUCGUUAAAAGUCUUCUUUUUUUUUUUGACUUGGUAAAAAUCGAUUAUAACCAAGUCUCCGAUUUGCAGCUACAAAUUAGGGAUUGUUUAGUGUUGUUUAGAUUAAUAUCAUGUGUUAGCAGGUAGGUGACGCAUAAUAUUUAUUUCCUUGUAUGUAUGUCAUACAUGUCGUUUUUACACGGUUUAUAAUGAUUCAAGAGGAUGUCACACCUGCUGCAUGGUAAUGACGAAGAUGACUUGCAGGCGGUGGAUAGUAGCCCGCUCUCAUUGUAGUUCUAGGUAAAACUUCAUCAUCUCUUCAUGGAAGGCGGGUAGAUGAUCCUUUUCACAGCAUCGUGUCAUCAACCUCAAGCCCUGCUUCGGCUUGGGCGGCGACAGAUAGAUGCAGGACGCCACGAAGUUACUGUCGUCAUUCAACGGAGUGACAUGGAUCGGCUCUCCCCACCCGUAGUUCACCUCUGAGAACCCCAUAAGUCUCCAAUCCGACACCACCAGCGUCCCGUACCCCGGUGGCACCCGGUAAGGGUCCUCCUCCGCAGUCUCCCCCAUCAUCCAGUCCAAGAACUUGGUGGAUAUCCUCUCUUUGGCGUCUCGUAUCAGCUCGAUCACCGCCACCGGCGAGGAACCUGCGAUGGUUCCAGCUUUCGCCUUGAUUCCCAUGGGGUACACGCAGUUGCCGUAGUAGCCUUCCUGCGGCAGCAACCCCCGCAGCAGGUGGCGGGUGUUGGCGGCGAAGCCGAGGUGAACGUCGACGUGGGCGUCGAAGCAUAUCGCCCGCGUCCGGCACUGCCAGGCCGUGGCCGUGACCACGUCGAAGGUGGAGCACGUCUGGCCCGUCUCCCUCCAGAACUGGUUCUUCACUGCGUCGAUGUGGUCGGAGGGGAUGUCGAACACGGAGUUCUCCAAGUUGAAAGCCUCGAAGGAGGGUAGUGGAAGACCUGGCGAUAGCUUCGGCGGACUGGGGAUGGCGUCCCUGCACCAGACUGGGUGGACGACGGGACGAGCGUGGCCUCUUGCGAUCUCGGCGACUGCUUUCAAGAACUGGGCUGCUCCGAGGCCGUCGAACACUACGUGGCUCAGCCGGGUGCCCACUGCGAACCCGCCGCAUGUGAACUCCGUCACCUGAACGAUCGAGAGAAGACACGGCUGGGUGAUGUACAUCCUGUUGAUUUUGGAAGUAGCGUAAUGCAAACAGUGUCACGUUCGGCUCGUGAAAGCCAACCAUGCAGUGUCUUACAUGAGCCUAUAUAUGAAUCCACCUUCAUUGCCAACACUUACCACAUGAGUCAGUCAGAUUAUAUAUAUUAAGAUAAACUUACGUCUUAAUAAAUUUAACUUUUUAGAUUAAAUUAAUUUCUAAUAAGCGCUAAUCAUAGAAUUGAUUCACGAUAGUUAUCUAGAUAGUUGUUAUGUUCUAAAUAUGAUUUAGAUUAUGACUCAUGAUGGGAGAUAAUACCUACAUUCACUUAAUAGGUAGUUACCAUCAGGUACUAUAAAUAUGAUCAUAGUUCAUAAACAAGAAGAGGUAUGUACUUGGAAAUAUUUUAUAAAUGUUCUAUGACUUACAUCUUGUUUAAUACUAAAUCAAUUUUCUUGAUCGAAAGCAUUCUAUCUUAAUUGCUUUGUAGUAUUCUAUUUUUAUCGUUCUCUAUCUCCAACAACUCUUAAUAGAAUGAGUUUGAUUCGUGACUUAAUAAACUUAAUCUUUUAGAUUAUGUAGACUACAAGACUCAUCAUCCAUUUUAAAUUAUCGAUAAGAUGAUCUCCAGCGUUCUUUCUUUCAGAUUCUUUGUACAGAAUUAGUGUCAUAGUUUCCUUCCGCUUAUAGGAUUCUGUCAUAUUCAAACUAAUUUAAUUAGUACCUCAGAAGAAAUGAUGUUAUCUUAACGCCGAUGCCGAGGAAAGCGUGUAUCAAAACAUACGUACCUGCAUCAUCAUGAUCAAAUCUUCCUCUUUCACUUCAGCGGGAGCGAAUGGGAUGAGCUCCUCCUUGGGCAGCAGGAGGGGGCGCUCCAAGUUGUUGACAUCUUUGAGAUUGCAAUCCACGGAGGCCUCAACGAACCACACGCCUUCGCCGGUGCAGGCGACCUCGGGCUCGCCGGGGCGCGGCUCGAAGAUGCGUCCGGCGACCGGGUAGUAAGGGACGAGAGCCCGGGAGAGCGCCGCCUUGAUGGCCUUCGCCGGCGCCAGGCCUUGCUGGAACACAAGUAUCGUGUCCGCCAGGACUCUGACUGCUGCAAUCCGGUCCAUGGAGGAGAGCGGGAGGCGGCCGGACGGCGUUGGCUCGGCGGCGGCCACGAGCUCCGGGACGAGCUUGUUCACGGAAAAUCUCAUGGUUGCUACAGUUGCUUCAGUGCCUCAGCUUCAGAUGCUCUGCCAUGAGGCGAUGUUGGUGACCAUAUAGUGAGAGAAAGGAAGGGGAUGGUGUCAGGGAUACCGCUAUCUAAUAUUAUCUAAUCUAGUCAAACGAGAACGUUAGAUUCUCUAAAUUAUUUACAAGUCUACAGUGUGAGUGGAAUCUUCUCAUUCUCAUGGGGGUACCAAGUCAAUUCGAAAGGGUUUUCCUAUUGGCGUUGACGAAUAGGUGUCACCAUAAAAUAUUAAAGGCGAAAACUUAGUUUCUUCUUUAAUGUCCAUUUUGGCACUUAGCGCCAUAAACUAAGUUCAUCCCACGGAGCUCCAGCCGGGGCCGCCGAGGUUUGCUUAUUCACGGAUAAGCUCAUGGUUGCUACAGCUAGCUGCUUUGAUUUCUCGGCUUACAGGCUCUGCCAUGAGGUGGUUGUGGUGGUGGUGGUGGUCAUUAUAUAUGUAUUCAUGCAGAAGGGGAUGAAGCGCAUUUGACCCGCUCGGGUAUGGGGCUCUCCACCCGACCCUGCUGCUGAACAUGGGACGCGUGCGUCAGACGCUGGAGAAAGUGCGUCGGCGAGUUAGAAGCAAUGAUUGACGAGGCCGUGCAGACCGGCGAAUCUCACUCGAAUGAGGGUGUUGGACAUCCUGGCCGCACACCAUGUCCCGUUAGUCACCUCACCAGUUUGUACAAACGUCUGUUCUCUCUCUCUAUAUAUAUAUGUAUGUGCUGUCGCUGACGUUGGAUGCGUGCGUAUAAAUCAUACCGAUGGGGAUUUUGGAUAGGUGAGUGAGAACAAGAGAAGAAUUGCGCCGUCUGUACAGACUUGCCAAUCCCACUUUCAUGUAUAAACGAAAUUGAAGUGUAUCUCUUUCUGUCAACGAAAAGAGAGUAUUUUGUGACUUCCGCCGAAUUCAUUAACAUCUAUCUGCAUGAGCAUGGAAUGUUGGAGCAUAUGGGUAGUCGAGUGAAGAACAAGUGAUGAAUGAUGCUGUGCUGAUUUUUCUGACCAUUUGCAGUAUUCAUUGGGUAGUAAAUGUUUAAUGCACCACAUUAGCUUCCCCACAAUAACAUAUUGUCUUUACUUCGUGUGACUACCACCCUAUUGGGUUGAUAGCUAAGGUGGACUUUAUCAACAUAUAGUUUACUUCCUCUUAAUCUAAUCAUAAUUUAUAUUAGGGGAGUGUGGUGGCUAUUAAAAUAAGAUAAAAAAAAAGACAGUAAUAAGGUGGUUUUUAGUAGCCAUGAGAUUCCAAAGAAAAUGAGAAGAACAAGACAGAAAAUGAAACGAAAGAAAUGGAAGAAGACAAGGAUAACACAAAGUGACUAUUCUCAAUCAUCCAGUAGUGCUUUCAUCUCAGGUUAGAUCAGAUCUAUAGUAGAUUCUUACUGUGAUUACUUAGAGAGAAUUAGGAAGGAUUUAGAUAUUGUGCACAGUGACGUGAUCCUUUAUCCUAGUUAUUCUCUUGUGAUUGUUGCUAAGAUUUUGGGCAAGAGAUUGAGAUUUGUAUAUUUAUUAUUAUUAUAAUGGAUUAUCUCUAGUUUGUCCCGUGGUUUUUACCCUUCACAUUGAAUGAGUUUGCUUGCUAAUAUUUAUUCAUAUACAAAAAUUAUUUCUCUUUAUAUUCCAUCAACUGGUAUCAGAGCAGGGUUAUGAUGAUUUAAUUUUUGUAUUUGAAGGAGGCCAGUAGUAUUUCUUAUAUGAUUAGUUUGAAUGAAAAUAAUUAGAUGAUAUGAAAAUCAAGAAUCGAAGAUAUCUUGUAUUGCAAAGAUUUGUAUGGACCUUUGCAGAGAGAUAGUGCAAAACCCACAACUAUAUCAGAUGAUGAGUGGAAGAUGUUAUAUCAAAAGACAGUAGGUUUAUUCGACAGUGGCUUGAUAAUAGUGUCUUUCAUCAUGUUUCUACUGAAAUUUCUACAUAUUCUCUUUCGAAAAAGUUGGAAAGUCUCUAUGAAAGAAAAACAGUUGACAACAAAGCUUUUUUGAUAAUAGUGUUGUCACCAUGAGUCAAGUAACAAGCAUUUUAUUGAAUAAGGAGUUGAUAAGAAAGAAUUCAGUAACAUCUAAAAAUGAUUCACAAGCACUUAUCUCAGAGAACAGAGAAAGGUCAAAGUCUAGAAGCAGUUCACGCGUGGGUAUGAGCAAAUCAAGAUUAAGAAAAGAUAUUGUUUGCUAUAAUUGUGGUGAGAAAGGACAUUACAAGAACCAAUGUAAGCAACAUAAGAAGAGCAAGAAAAAUGGAAAAGAAGUGGAGUCUACAGAGUCAAAAAAUAAUAUCACAAUUAUAGUGUAGGGUGGUGAUUAUUUGAUUUUGUCUUAUUCUGAUAAUAUUUUUUUUGUGUUUAUUAGGAUCUUAAGUGGGUGACUAACACAGGUGUUUCUUAUCAUGCUAUACCAUGGAGGGAGUUUUUUGCUACAUACAAGUAUGAAAAUUUUGGUGUUGUCAAGAUGAGCAACUACGGCAUAGCAAACAUCAUUGGCAUGAGUGAUAUGUAUUUAAAGACCAACAUUGGUUGCAAAUUAGUGCUUAAGGAUAUGAGGCAUGUGAUUUGACUUUGCUAGUCAUAGGUGCCCAGUUAGCUAAUCACGUGAGUGAUGACACGUGUGACUUGACACGGAAUCUUUUUACUUAUUAUAUUUUAACAUUUAUCAUUUUAUAUUGACUGUUGCAUAUAUACAUGUAUAUAUUGUGAUGUCUUUGGAUCUGUGCAAUAUGAAUCAGAUCGUGAUGAGAUCACGAUAAUGAGACUGAUUCACUUUUAAACACAUAUCCUAAAUAAUCCCGGUCAUAGGUUACUCGAGAGAGACAUCGAGAUAAUCGUAUAAACUGGUGUACUGUAUACCCAUCCAUAUGAUGGAUGCAGUUGGUCUCAUAGCUGCUUGUGUGAGGACACUAGGGAUACAGUACAGGUGCUCAUUAGAGAAUGAGUUCACUGAUUGAUCCGCUUAUGGAAUGCUGGAUGGUUAAUGAUACCUUAUUGUCAGAUAACGAUUCCGUAGUCCUAGUGGUGUAUCUUGUCCUUAGAUUUGAGAUACCAAGGAUGUCCUAUAUUAGUGCUCCGCUCUUUGAUACCAGACUUAUAUGUUUGGAUGUCCCAGAUCUAGUACAGUUGGUCAUUGGGAGUAACAGUUGACCUUACGAGAGCUAUUGAGUAUCGAUAGAGGAUCAUCCACUCUUGGCGUCAUGAGAGGAGCAUCCUAUGCGUUCUUGCUCAGACAAAUCCCUGGCCAUGGUCAUUCGGAUUGAGAGAGAAAGAGUUAUCGGGAAGAAUCCAAUUAGAGCAAGACUCGAGUAGAAACUAUAUGGGUCUGAUAGUACCAUGCCCGAUAUACGAUCUCUAGAAUAUUAUCUCAGUUGAGAAAUAUCACAUACUCAUUUGUAGAGUAUCGUCGCCCCCAAGAUUUCUUAACAUGUUUAAGCUUUGGAGGUGAACCAUCUAUGUUGACAGGUUACACAGAUGUAGAUAUGGCAAGAGAUAUAGAUACGAGGAAGUCCACAUUAGGAUAUGUACUUACUUUUGCAAGAGGAGAUGUGUCAUGACAAUCCAUAUUACAAAGGCGUAUUGCUCUCUCCAUCAUAGAGACAGAAUAUAUUGCUGCUACAGAGGUUUACAAAGAAAUAUUAUGGAUAAAAGAAUUCUUACAAGAAUUGGGACUUAAACAGGAAACUAUAUAGUGCAUUGUGAUAGUCGGAGUGCUAUCCAUUUGUGUAAGAACCCAAUGUUUCAUUCCAAGUCAAAGCAUAUAGAUAUCAGAUACCACUGGAUUUGAAAUGUAUUGAAGAGAAAUAGUUGCAGUUUUAGAAAAUUCACACAGAUGACAACGAAGCAGACAUGCUAGACAAAGAAUUUACUAAAAGAAAGACAGGAGAUAUACUGAUAGCUGGUCGGCAUGGCUUCACAUUGAGGAGUCAUAGGACAACCCUCCUUAUGGGCUGAAGGGGGAUGUUGUUGGGCUGACAGCCCAUAUUCAGCCCAAUGUGAGCUUUAUCAGCCCACAACUCAUCCCCUCUCAACAUAACCCUAAUUUAUAUUAGAGAGGGUGUGAUGGCUCUAAAAAGAGGCAGAAAAAAGCAGUAGCAAGGUAGUUUUUGGCAGUCACAGGAUUCCAAAGAAAAGGAGGAGAACAAGGCAGAAAAGGAAGAAGACAAGGAUAACACAAAGAGAUUGUUCUCAAUCAUCUAGCAGUGCUUUUAUCUUAUGUUAGAUCAGAUCUACAGUAAAUUUUUACUGUGAUUACUUGGGAAGAAUUAUGGAGAAUUUAGAUAUUGUGCACAGUGAUAUGAUCUUUGUAUUCCAAUUAUUCUUUUGUGAUUGUUGCUGGAGUUUUGGACAAAAGAUUGAGAUUUGUAUAUUCAUUAUUAUUAUUAUGGAUUAUCUUUAAUUUGUCCUAUAGUUUUUAUCCUUCAUACAUAAAAAUUAUUUUUCAUAUAUAUUUUAGUGUUCUAUUUUAUUGUGAUUCCAUUUAAUUCCACUGCAUGUUAUAUUAUGCUAAUAUUUAUUUAUACACAAGUUAUUUCGACACCUAUAUAAGAGGUACUACGAGUGCUUUCAACUAAAGCUAAUAAUUAUGAGUUCUUUCAACUAAAGCUAAUAAUUAUAGGAGCUUAGCCGAAAGCUGAAACGCCAAAGGGUUUUAAAAGCUAUAGGACAUUUAUUGCUUUGGUUAACAUUAUCUUUGUAUGUGGUGGACUUCAGAGAGAUGCUUCUUAAUCAUUAAUUGUUCGGGAAAUGAGUAAUGUGGUCGGUGUAGUGCUGCUACCGAUGAGUCACAAUGUUCAUCUAUGAACAUUUCAGGAAAGCUCCGGCAAGCCGUGCGACGUGCAAACCUGUUGAUCUAUGUACGACUUCCACGUAGAACAACAUGAGCAACAAGAGAUAGGUUGUAGAUCGCCAUGCAUGUACAACUGUUCCUUCAAGGCAGGUGGAGGGAGGAUGGUUGCAGUCAUGCUAAUUAUGGACAAACUUCAUCGUCUCUUCGGUGAAGGCCGGUAGAUGUUCCUUUUGAACACAUCGUGUCAGCAACCUCACGCCCUGCUUCGGCAUGGACGGCUGCAGGUAGAUGCAGGAAGCGAUGAAGUUGCUGUCGUCAUUCAACGGUGCGACAUGGAUCGGCUCUCCCCACCCAUAGUUCACUUCUGAGAACCCCACCCGGCUCCAAUCCGACACCACCAGCGUCCCGUACUCCAGCGGCACCUUGUACGGGUCGUCCUCCGCGUCCCCCAUCAUCCAGUCCAAGAACUUGGCGGACAUCCUCUCCUUGGCGUCUCGUAUCAGCUCGAUCACCUCCACCGGCGAGGAACCAGCGAUUGUCCCGGCGGUCGUCUGGAUCCCCAUGGGGUACACGCAGUUGCCGUAGAAGCCUUCCUGCGGCAGCACCUGGCGCAAAAGGUGGCGGGUGUUGGCGGCGAAGCCGAGGUGCACGUCGGCGUGGGGGUCCAAGCCUAUCGCCCGCGUCCGGGACUGCCAGAUCAUGGCCGUGACCACGUCGAAGGUGGAGCACUUCUGGCCCGUCUCCCUCCAGAACUGGUUCUUCACCGCGCUGAUAUGGUCGGAGGAGACGUCGAAGACGGAGGUCUCGAAACGGAAGGAAG
rnacentral:lncRNA from 1 species